AUCUAAAUAGCUUAUUAGUUAGAGCGUGACACUGAAGAUGUCAAGGAAGUAUUUUUUGCUUUUAGGUA
rnacentral:tRNA from 1 species